UACGUAGGGUGCGAGCGUUGUCCGGAUUUAUUGGGCGUAAAGAGCUCGUAGGCGGUUUGUCGCGUCGGCCGUGAAAACUCAACGCUUAACGUUGAGCUUGCGGUCGAUACGGGCAGACUUGAGUUCGGUAGGGGAGACUGGAAUUCCUGGUGUAGCGGUGAAAUGCGCAGAUAUCAGGAGGAACACCGGUGGCGAAGGCGGGUCUCUGGGCCGAUACUGACGCUGAGGAGCGAAAGCGUGGGGAGCGAAC
rnacentral:rRNA from 1 species